rnacentral:lncRNA from 1 species
GCUCAAAAAUAUUAGCUAUUCUUCUCAAAUACAAUCCUAUCGAAGAUCAAAGAUUGGGUCAGCUUUGUCAUACCAUGUAGCUUCAAGUACUAAUUAUUGGAGCAACAUAUGGAGAAAGUAGAGAUUUUUGUGGUUGGUGGCUUCUUACCUAAUUUGGGUGAACUACUUGUUGCAUUUUAAGCAAUGACUUGUUGGUUAUACUGGUUGGUUAUCAAAUAGUGCACUGUGUACUUCUGCCUUUUGUAGAUCGAGUGCAGGGAGCAGGAGGCCAAAACAUGAGGGACCGGGCCACCAUCCGGCGCCUGAAUAUGUAUAGGCAAAAGGAGCGCAGGAACAGUCGUGGUAAAAUAAUUAAACCCCUGCAAUAUCAAUCAACGGUGGCUUCUGGCACAGUGGCAAGAGUAGAGCCAAAUAUUAAAUGGUUUGGAAACACACGUGUGAUUAAGCAGUCAUCAUUACAAAAAUUUCAAGAGGAAAUGGAUACAGUUAUGAA